AUGAUCCAGAGUACCACGGGACACGUGAAACCCUGUGGGAAGCAGGAGGGACCACCCUCCAAGGCUAAAUACUACCUAGUGACCGAUAGCGUAUAGUACCGUGAGGGAAAGGUGAAAAGAACCCCGGGAGGGGAGUGAAAUAGAACCUGAAACCCUGCACUUACAAGCUGUGGAAGCACAUUUCUUGUGUGACCGCGUACUUUUUGUAGAACGGGCCAACGAGUUACGUUAAGUAGCAAGGUUAAGCACUUAAGGUGCGGAGCCGUAGCGAAAGCGAGUUUUAACUGAGCGUUCAGUUACUUGACGUAGACCCGAAACCGGGCGACCUACCCAUGAGCAGGAUGAAGCGAAAGUAAAAUUUCGUGGAGGUCCGAACCCACGAGCGUUGAAAAGCUCGGGGAUGACUUGUGGGUAGCGGUGAAAUUCCAAUCGAGCCCGGAGAUAGCUGGUUCUCCCCGAAAUAGCUUUAGGGCUAGCCUCAAGGUGAGAGAUACGGAGGUAGAGCACUGAAUGUCCUAGGGGGUAUUGCACCUACCGAAGACUAUCAAACUCCGAAUGCCGUCAUCUUAUACUUGGGAGUCAGACUGUGGGUGAUAAGAUUCAUAGUCGAAAGGGCAACAGCCCAGAUCGUCAGCUAAGGUCCCUAAAUGUAAGUUAAGUGGUAAAGGAUGUGGGAUUGCACAGACAACCAGGAUGUUGGCUUAGAAGCAGCCACUCAUUCAAAGAGUGCGUAAUAGCUCACUGGUCGAGUGAUCCUGCGCCGAAGAUUUCCGGGGCUAAAACUUACUACCGAAGCUACGGCAUCAGUAAUGAUGGGUAGGGGAGCUUCCCAUACGGGUUGAAGCAUGACCGUAAGGACAUGUGGACAGUAUGGGAGUGAGAAUGUUGGCAUGAGUAGCGAGAUGUGGGUGAGAAUCCCACAGGCCGUAAACCCAAGGUUUCCAGGGGAAGGUUCGUCCGCCCUGGGUUAGUCGGGACCUAAGCUGAGGCCGAAAGGCGUAGGUGAUGGACAACAGGUUGAUAUUCCUGUACUACCGAUAACCGUUUGAGAGAAGGGAUGACACAGUAGGAUAAGCUAAGCACACUGUUGGUUAUGUGUGCCCAAGCAUUGAGGCAGUCAAAGUAGGCAAAUCCGCUUUGAUAAUGCUGGGAUGUGAUGGGGAGCGAAAUUUAGUAGCGAAGUAGCUGAUUUCACACUGUCAAGAAAAGUCUCUAUCGAGGUUAAAGGUACCCGUACCGCAAACCGACACAGGUGGGUGAGGAGAGUAUCCUAAGGCCAGCGAGAGAACUGUUGUUAAGGAACUCGGCAAAAUGACCCCGUAACUUAGGGAUAAGGGGUGCCACCAUCAGGUGGCCGCAGAGAAUAGGCCCAAGCGACUGUUUACCAAAAACAUAGGUUUCUGCUAAGUCGCAAGACGAUGUAUAGGAGCUGACGCCUGCCCGGUGCUGGAAGGUUAAGGGGAUCUGUUAGAGCAAUCGAAGCAGUGAACUUAAGCCCCAGUAAACGGCGGCCGUAACUAUAACGGUCCUAAGGUAGCGAAAUUCCUUGUCGGGUAAGUUCCGACCCGCACGAAAGGCGUAACGAUUUGGGCACUGUCUCAACAACAGACUCGGUGAAAUUGUAAUUCCGGUGAAGAUGCCGGAUACCUGCGACAGGACGGAAAGACCC
rnacentral:rRNA from 1 species